ensembl:lncRNA
UUUUUAUUUUUUUUUUAAUUUUGCAUAUCUCACCUCAAAUUUCGUUCUUUUGCUUAUACCAAAAAAAUUAUAUAUAUAUAUAUAAAUAUGAAUAUUUAUAUAUAAUAUCGUAAAAAAAAAAAAAAAAAAAAGUAUUAGUCACAACUUGUACCGAAUAACUUCAUUUGGGAAAUUAAAAAUUUAGCUGAAAUUUUAUUGUAAGAACAUUAAAUGUUAUUUAUUUCUGUAUAUGCAAUUUUAUAAGAAUAAAAAUUCAGAACCAAUUGAAAGACAUGUUUGGUGAGCACAUUGAAAAUGAAAACAAUAAUAAUUUUAUAAUAGUAAAAAAGAAUAAAAAUAAAAAUGAAAAUAUCGACUUUGAAGAAAUUAAAAAAAAUGAAUAUAUAUGUGUUGAGGUUCCAGGGAGAGUUAAAAAGGGAAGUAAAGGGUUAUCUGCUGUUGAAAGUUUAGGUGGGUUAAAUAAAAUAACAGAUAUUUUUAAAAGUCAUAUGGAUAAUAAUAGUAAAUAUGAAGAAACUUUAGUUUUACGAAUUAAUACUAAUGAUAUGUUUUCAUCUUUUAUAUCGGCCAAUUAUACGAAAGUGAAUAAUAUUUUAAUUAAAAUAAAAAAAACCCAAAAAAAUAGAUAUAAAUUUGAGUUUUUAGGGUUUGUUAAAUAUUUAUACUAUUUUAACAAUGUGAGUGAUUUUUAUUAUAUACCAUCUUUUUAUAACAGAUAUAAUUACAGCACAAAUUAUAUAAGUUAUUUGACCAGAGGAAAUGAGGAAGUCAAAAAAAAAGGGAGUCAAAAUAGUACGGGAAAAAAAGGAUAUAAAAAAAAAAAAAAAAAAGAAGAAAUAAGUCAACAGCAGGGACAAAUGUUCGAACCGUAUAGUAAUCACUUCCAACACAUGAAUCAGAUAAAUAACGUUAAUAACAGUAUUUUUUGUAAUAGCUAUAAUGUUGAACAUGUUGAACAAAAUUAUAACAAUUCGUUUGACUGGCAUAACAAAAGAGAAGUAAAUAUUACUCAAAUACUCCCAUAUAAUUUUAAUCAUAAUAAUAACAAUUACAUAGAUAAUACAACUCAUAUGAAUAGUUUUUCGAAUAGUUAUAACAACUGUUACAAUAAUAAAAUAGAACAAAAUACAGUAUAUGUAAAUAAUGGUGGUUUUGAUGUAACAAAUUAUACUGUUCAACACAACUCUGCUUUUUUUUCAAACAAUAACAAUUAUAUAACACUAAAUAAUAGUAACUUUGGACAUGUAGUUGAUACGCAAAUUAAUACGAAUUGUAACGUGAAUUACAAUAAUAGUAGUAUUAGUAGUAGUAGUAAUAAUAAAAACACUAGCAUUAACAACACUAGCAUUAACAACACUAGCAUUAACAACACUAGCAUUAACAACACUAACAUUAACAAUACUAACAAUACUAAUGAUGUUUGUUUAGGACAAUAUAAUAACAGUGUUACUACUGAGAAUGUAUACAAACUUAGAGAAAGUAAUUAUAUACAUAUAAACAAUGAAUUACAAAAUAAUGUGAAUAUACAAGAUAACAUGAAUAUACAAAAUGAAAUAAAUAUACAAAAUGAAAUGAAUGUACAAAAUGAAAUGAAUAUACAAAAUGAAAUGAAUAUACAAAAUGAANNNNNNNNNNUGAAUAUACAAAAUGAAAUGAAUAUACAAAAUGAAAUGAAUAUACAAGAUAAGACGAAUACACAACAUAAUGUGAUAAAUAACGAAAAUAUAUUUGAAGUAAAAGAAAAAAAGGAUACCGAUAUAAAUAAUUGUCAUAUGUUUGAUUCAUUAAAUAACAGUAAUUUUAAUAUUAAUAUAUUACAAAAAAAUGAUAAUAAUUCUGAAGAUUAUUUUUCAGAUAAUGAGUUAAACGAAUUAUAUAAAAAAAUUAUUAAGUCUAAUACAAGUACUAAUUUUUUAGAAACUGAUGAAAAUGAUAUUGAAUUUUCUUCAGAUGAAAGUGAAGCUUAUGAAUUACAUAGUUGUAUUAAAAGUAAGAAUACAACUCCUUAUGAUUUUAAAAAUUAUCAAUAUAUGAUUACGAAUAAGUAUAUAAGAGAGUUUAAAUAUUUAAUUAGUAAAUUCACUACAUCAAUAGAUUCUAACAUUGACAUAAAAAAAAAAGAUUUGGAAAAUUUUAUUAAAAAUUUAAUUAUAAUUAAAAAUGAUACUAAUGGUCGUUCAGAUGAUAACAUAACAGUAAGUAAAACUAACCUAACAAAUAAAAUAAGAAAUAUAAAACAUAAUAAAAAAAAGACUACGACAGAAAUAGAAACAAAGUUGAACGAAACAAAUUCAUUAAAUAAUAAAUCACACAGUGAUAUGAAUAAAUAUUUUGAUGAUAACAAUAGAAACAUAAAUAAUAUAAAUGAUGAUACAGAUGAAUAUGGAGAAGACUAUUAUGAUGAUACUGAUAAUGUGAAUGAAUGUGGCUACAAUGAUGAGCAGUAUAUCAGUGAUGAUGAUAGUAAAAAAAAUGACAAUGUUGAUGAUAUUUUCUGUAAUAUUAAAAUGAAUAGAAAAUUGAAAAAUUCUGAAUAUGCAGCUACCAGUAGUAAUAAUAAAUAUAAUAAUUAUGAAGAUGAUGAUGGUAAAAAUAAUAAGAUUAUAGUAAGUAAAGAAACUGUUCAUUGUAAUCCCAUAGCUAAAUAUGACGACUUUAUUCUUCCAUGUAAUCCUUUUGAUAAUGUAUUAAAAAAAUAUGUUUCUGAUGAAUUAUAUAAUAGAGUAAAAGUACUGUUUGAUAUUAGACCCAUAUGGUCAAGGGGGGCACUAGUGCAACAUCUUGAUUCUACAAGUGCGUAUUGUUUAAAAAGUUGUUUUUCAAAAGUUUGUUUUUAUUUUGCUAAUGGGCCUUGGAGGCGUACAUACUGUAAAUAUGGUUAUGAUCCACGGAAUGAUCCUUCAAGUUAUAUCUACCAAACAAUAGAUUUUAGGGAUAAUUAUUAUAGAGAUAUAAAUACGAAAAAUUUUGAUGAAACAAAUAGAUAUAUUUUCAAGAGAAAAACAUAUUUGGAUAAAACUGUUACUGAUAUAAUUAAAAGAAUUAAUAGAAAUAAAAAAAACGGUUUUAUGAUGGCUCAUGACAAUAACCGUACUAGUAAUGCCAUGGACUCUAACGAUACUACUACUGCGACUACUAAUUAUGAACAUACAAACAUAUCCACCGAACAUAAGAAUGAAAAACAAGAUGAAUAUAUAUAUAAAAAAUGUCUAAAAAUUAGUACUGAAAAAGUUUCAGAGAUUAACAAAGAUUAUGUUAAAUGUAAUAAUAAUAUAAAUUAUGAUAAUAACACUGAUAAUGUAGAAAAUUAUAAUAGUUUGGAUGACACACAUAUCGACGUGGUUACGAAUGAUUAUAAUAUUAACAAAAAUAAUUUCAGCUUAUAUUCUAAUAACAGCAUUUUAGAUAAUGAAAUAGUUAAUCAAACUGAUGAAGAAAUUAAUGACAUACUUAAAUUUUUGAAAAGAUCAAAUACUUUGCAUUAUCGACAAAAAUUUUCAUCCGAAAUUCAUUUUUCUGUAUGUCCAUUAAAAUUAUCAACCAUAUAUCAGUACAUAGAUAUAUAUGACAAUAAUGUUUUAGACUAUUUAUUUAAUAUUAAAACAAAAGAAACGUGUACAAAAUAUAAUGGUUGGCUAGAUAGUAAAGACAUUGUAAAAAUUAGAGAUAUUUUGUUUGUUAGAGCUUUAACUCUACGUCGUGCCCAUUCUAAGUAAAAAAAAAAAAAUAUAUAUAAUUACAUUAAAUGUAAUUUUACAAAUCACUAACUAUAGUUAUGUUUGAAAAAUGCACCUCUUUUUAAGCUAUGUUUUUACAAGUGCAUUACAUAUAAUUUAGCUGAACAAAGCAAUUUUAGCCACGUAUACAAAUAUGUGUACGUGUGUGGAUUUGUUGACUCACUGAAAC